rnacentral:rRNA from 1 species
UACGUAGGGUGCGAGCGUUAAUCGGAAUUACUGGGCGUAAAGCGUGCGCAGGCGGCGCGUUAAGACAGGUGUGAAAGCCCCGAGCUUAACUUGGGAAUUGCGCUUGUGACUGGCGGGCUUGAGUGUGGCAGAGGGGGGUGGAAUUCCGCGUGUAGCAGUGAAAUGCGUAGAGAUGCGGAGGAACACCGAUGGCGAAGGCAGCCCCCUGGGCCAACACUGACGCUCAGGCACGAAAGCGUGGGGAGCAAACAGG